rnacentral:tRNA from 1 species
GACAGGGUAGAGUAUUGGCAACUCGUCACGCUCAUAACGUGAAUUGAUGCAGGUUCGAUUCCUGCCCCUGUUACUA